CAGUAGCCACGGUAAUACGAAGGGUGCAAGCGUUAAUCGGAAUUACUGGGCGUAAAGCGUGCGUAGGCGGUUUGUUAAGUCUGCUGUGAAAUCCCCGGGCUCAACCUGGGAAUGGCAGUGGAUACUGGCAAGCUAGAGUGUGUCAGAGGAUGGUGGAAUUCCCGGUGUAGCGGUGAAAUGCGUAGAGAUCGGGAGGAACAUCAGUGGCGAAGGCGGCCAUCUGGACAACACUGACGCUGAGGCACGAAAGCGUGGGGAGCAAACAGGAUUAGAUACCCCGGUAGUCCCUGUCUCUUAUACA
rnacentral:rRNA from 1 species